rnacentral:rRNA from 1 species
GAUGAACGCUGGCGGAAUGCUUUACACAUGCAAGUCGAACGGCAGCACGGACUUCGGUCUGGUGGCGAGUGGCGAACGGGUGAGUAACAUAUCGGAACGUAUCCAAUAAUGGGGGAUAACUAAUCGAAAGGUUGGCUAAUACCGCAUACGCCCUACGGGGGAAAGCAGGGGAUCUUCGGACCUUGCGUUAAUGGAGCGGCUGAUAUCUGAUUAGCUAGUUGGUGAAGUAAAGGCUCACCAAGGCGACGAUCAGUAGCUGGUCUGAGAGGACGACAAGCCACACUGAAACGGAGACACGGUCCAGACUCCUACGGGAGGCAGCAGUGGGGAAUUUUGGACAAUGGGCGCAAGCCUGAUCCAGCCAUUCCGCGUGAGUGAAGAAGGCCUUCGGGUUGUAAAGCUCUUUCGCAAGGGAAGAAAACUUACUUUCUAAUAAAGAGUGAGGUUGACGGUACCUUGAUAAGAAGCACCGGCUAACUACGUGCCAGCCGCCGCAGUAA